GGAAAAUCCCAAUUCUCCUCCACCGCCUUUUCUUCCCUAUCUUCUCAUUUCUCCUUUUUCUCUCUUCUCUCUGUUACACAGAGAAUUCAGUUAUGGCCGGAAGUGGUGUCGUUACAGUUUACGGAAAUGGUGCUCUCACAGAGACAACCAAGCAAUCCCCCUUCUCUGUGAAAGUGGGUCUCGCUCAGAUGCUUCGGGGAGGCGUUAUCAUGGACGUUGUUAAUGCUGAACAGGCUCGUAUAGCCGAGGAGGCCGGUGCGUGUGCUGUCAUGGCUCUUGAGCGUGUCCCUGCUGAUAUACGCGCUCAGGGCGGCGUUGCACGUAUGUCGGAUCCCCAGCUUAUCAAAGAAAUCAAACAGGCUGUGACAAUUCCUGUUAUGGCCAAGGCUCGUAUUGGUCAUUUCGUGGAGGCUCAAAUCCUUGAGGCUAUUGGAAUCGAUUACGUUGAUGAAUCGGAGGUGCUUACCCUUGCUGACGAUGAGAACCACAUCAACAAGCACAAUUUCCGUAUCCCCUUUGUCUGUGGCUGCCGUAAUUUGGGUGAGGCUCUUCGCCGUAUCCGUGAGGGUGCUGCCAUGAUUCGGACCAAGGGGGAAGCUGGUACCGGAAACAUUAUCGAGGCUGUUCGUCAUGUGCGUUCCGUUAUGGGUGAUAUCAGGGUGCUGCGCAACAUGGACGAUGAUGAGGUUUUCACCUUUGCUAAGAAGAUUCAGGCACCAUACGAUCUGGUGAUGCAAACAAAGCAACUUGGUAGGCUCCCUGUGGUUCACUUUGCAGCAGGUGGGGUGGCGACACCAGCAGAUGCAGCGCUUAUGAUGCAGUUGGGAUGUGACGGCGUGUUCGUGGGUUCUGGUAUCUUCAAGAGUGGUGACCCUGCAAAGAGGGGACGUGCCAUCGUGCAAGCAGUGACUCAUUACAGUGACCCACAAUUGCUGGCUGAAAUUAGCUGUGGGCUUGGUGAGGCUAUGGUUGGAAUCAAUCUUGAUGAAAAGGUGGAGAGGUAUGCCAAUCGUUCUGAGUGAUGAUGGUUGUAAGUUUUAGAAUGUCUUUAUCUUGUUCUUGGAUCAGAGCAUGUCAUACUCUCUGGGAAUAUGCUCCUUCGUAUAUUUUAGUUUUUUAUUUUAUGGCCAGUUGUUAUAAACCAUUGGAAUGGGAUGAUUAGAUCAAUUCAGUUAUAUGCAUUUCGAUAUUCAAUUUUC
rnacentral:misc_RNA from 1 species